GGUUCCAUGGUGUAAUGGUAAGCACUCUGGACUCUGAAUCCAGUGAUCCGAGUUCGAGUCUCGGCGGGACCU